GAUAUACUCCCUCCGUCCCAUAUUAAGUGACUUAAAUUUGUCCAAAUAUGAAUGUAUUUAUGUUUAAAAAACGUCUAGAUACAUAUAAUAGAAAAUCAUUUAAUAUGGGAUGGAGGGUGUAUAAC
rnacentral:pre_miRNA from 1 species